UACAACCACAACUCCUGCAUUUGGCACAUUUAGUGACUCGGAUAUAGCCAACAACACGAGGGAAGAAAUGGCGUUAACAUUUGGUGACGAUAUCAAUGACAUUGACAUCCUCUACGUCUGCUCAAGGAGCACUCAGCAGCUCCACUCUGAGCGGAUCCAGACACGCCCUCACACGCGCUGCGCAGACCACGCCCACACGCCGCCGCAGCUAGAGGCAAUCAUCAAUCAGAACACCUGGAAGUGAUUACAGACAACAGGAUAAAGAGCCUCGCCACUGACUACUCCUCGUCGGAACGUUGCUCUGCUCGCAUCCCUGUCUCAGCUCCCGCUGCCAUUUUCCCCUGAACCCUGAUUGCCCUCCUGAUUCCCCGACACAUUGCCUGGACUUUGGACGCUCUCUCCGGCACUACGACCACGCUUGGACCCCGGACUACUUUGCCUUCCCCUUCUGGAUUUGGACGCCACUAUUCAACACGCAUGACAACACUCCUUACGGUACCUACAUAUGUUAAUUCCUGCACAUAGUUUUACAAUCAAACACAUAGUAGCAUACACACCCUACGUACCCAUAAAUCACUCAAUAAAUACAUUGAGUCUGUACUUCCGCUGUUGUGCCGUCUCCUUUCCCCGUCGUAGACCUAACAGAAAUACGGGCAUAUCUGGAUGACUUGCCUCCAUAUUUCCAGUGGUUACCUUCGAGUUA